GUGAGGCGGGGAAAAAAAAAACAAAACCCACAACGGAAAGCACCUCCGCGGGGCCUGGAGGGGCUCGCGCGCUACGUUGAAGGCAGCAGGGCGGCAAGCAGGAGCCGAAGCAGCCUGGACAGGGGAGCGGGUGGAGCCGGCCGGCCGAGAGCUACCGCAGCCGUGACGCAGCUGUCCUGGAAGGUGUCUGCCUUUGGCAAGUCGCGUGUUCUCAAGGAAGAAACCCUCCCUCGCUCGGCUGUGCUAGCCUCUUUCUGCACUCGCAGAGAGACACCCUUUCAAUUUACAGGCAGCAAGGCUGCUCCCGGUGCAGCCCGCCUCUGCGUCCCAGCGAGCCCGGGGUUCGCUAAGGGCUCCCCUUCGCCUAACGAGCCCCUUGACAGCUUGGAACCAAAAAAAAAGAUUUCUGAAUAUCACCCAGCCUUAGCACGUGUCAACGAAACCCACUGGAAGAAGGUCCCACCUCCCGCUCACGGUGAUGCGAGGGUCACAGCCCUGCGUUGGUUCAAGGGGUGAAGUUCUGUGUGGCAGUGCGAACCACUCCAAGGAGCAAGGCGAAUGUGCCUAAAGCACUACUUUACAAAAUUAUUUAUUGUCUCAUAAUCUUUUAAAGUAGAAAAAUCUAACCUUGGAGACAGAAAACACAUUAGAAACAUCAUUAAACAUCAAUUGCAAAGCACUCAGACAUUACAAUACACCAGAAUUAAAGCGUCUUGCACAGCCUGGACUUGUUAGGUCAGUGCUUUCGGAUUGCCGUCAACUAUCUGCUCACACGCUGCUCUGCUGCAGUUUUCUCCGCUUUCUCUAAGAUUAGCAUGCCCAUGGUGGCACCAGUCUGGCAAAGACCUAUGGCUGUUUAAGAAGGAAGCUGAGGUUCAGGCUGCCAGCUAGGCUGGCUUGCUGAGGAGGAUGAAAGGUUUCUCUUUGGUUUCUCCCCGCGUUGAAGGCAACUGCCUGAUAACACAAGCCGCAGAGGGGCGAUCUGGUGGUUCACCUCUCACAGCACAGCUACCUCUGUGUCGGGCAUGGUGCGGGGCACCCACGCAGACCUGCCGAGCUGCAGUGGUAGGUUUAGGCUGAGCCCCCGGCACGAGUGAAGAGCAAGAAACUUAGGAGAUUAUCCUCCAGGAUGGCAAUAGGCAAGAUGCCUAGAGUAGGUAGCGGCUCUAAAAAUUGCUUGAGAUGUGCAGCCAGCCCUGGCACACCUCUUAACUGAGAACCAUCUUUUUACUGGGAUAAUCUAUCACACUUGAAAAAUUCUGAAAGGCUGUAUCUUUCCCCCAAACCAUCUUUAUCAUUUUAAUUUAAAAGCUUUUUAAAAUUAUCACCCAAAUAAAUGGUAAAUAGAACAGGGCA
rnacentral:lncRNA from 1 species